rnacentral:rRNA from 1 species
AUUGAACGCUGGCGGCAGGCCUAACACAUGCAAGUCGAGCGGAUGAAGGGAGCUUGCUCCUGGAUUCAGCGGCGGACGGGUGAGUAAUGCCUAGGAAUCUGCCUGGUAGUGGGGGCUAACGUCCGGAAACGGGCGCUAAUACCGCAUACGUCCUGAGGGAGAAAGUGGGGGAUCUUCGGACCUCACGCUAUCAGAUGAGCCUAGGUCGGAUUAGCUAGUUGGUGGGGUAAAGGCCUACCAGGGCGACGAUCCGUAACUGGUCUGAGAGGAUGAUCAGUCACACUGGAACUGAGACACGGUCCAGACUCCUACGGGAGGCAGCAGUGGGGAAUAUUGGACAAUGGGCGAAAGCCUGAUCCAGCCAUGCCGCGUGUGUGAAGAAGGUCUUCGGAUUGUAAAGCACUUUAAGUUGGGAGGAAGGGCAGUAAGUUAAUACCUUGCUGUUUUGACGUUACCAACAGAAUAAGCACCGGCUAACUUCGUG